AUUGAACGCUGGCGGCAUGCCUAACACAUGCAAGUCGAACGGUAACAGGCCCUUCGGGGUGCUGACGAGUGGCGGAUGGGUGAGUAAUACUUAGGAAUCUACCCUGUAGUGGGGACGAACCCGGGAAACGUCGGCUAAUACCGCAUACGCUCUACGGAGGAAAGCGGGGACCGCAACGGCCUCGCGCUAUUGGAUGAGCCUAAGCCCGAUUAGCUAGUUGGUGGGUAAUAGCCUACCAAGGCAAUGAUCGGUAGCUGGUCUGAGAGGACGACCAGCCACACU
rnacentral:rRNA from 1 species